rnacentral:rRNA from 1 species
CCUACGGGUGGCAGCAGUGGGGAAUAUUGGACAAUGGACGAAAGCCUGAUCCAGCCAUGCCGCGUGUGUGAAGAAGGCCUUCGGGUUGUAAAGCACUUUCAGUGGGGAAGAAAGCCUUGGGGCUAAUACCCUCGAGGAAGGACAUCACCCACAGAAGAAGCACCGGCUAACUCCGUGCCAGCAGCCGCGGUAAUACGGAGGGUGCGAGCGUUAAUCGGAAUUACUGGGCGUAAAGCGCGCGUAGGCGGUCUGAUAAGCCGGUUGUGAAAGCCCCGGGCUCAACCUGGGAACGGCAUCCGGAACUGUCAGGCUAGAGUGCAGGAGAGGAAGGUAGAAUUCCCGGUGUAGCGGUGAAAUGCGUAGAGAUCGGGAGGAAUACCAGUGGCGAAGGCGGCCUUCUGGACUGACACUGACGCUGAGGUGCGAAAGCGUGGGUAGCAAACAGGAUUAGAUACCCCUGUAGUC